rnacentral:rRNA from 1 species
UGGGGAAUAUUGGACAAUGGGCGCAAGCCUGAUCCAGCCAUGCCGCGUGAGUGAUGAAGGCCCUAGGGUUGUAAAGCUCUUUCACCGGUGAAGAUAAUGACGGUAACCGGAGAAGAAGCCCCGGCUAACUUCGUGCCAGCAGCCGCGGUAAUACGAAGGGGGCUAGCGUUGUUCGGAUUUACUGGGCGUAAAGCGCACGUAGGCGGACUAUUAAGUCAGGGGUGAAAUCCCGGGGCUCAACCCCGGAACUGCCUUUGAUACUGGUAGUCUUGAGUUCGAGAGAGGUGAGUGGAAUUCCGAGGGGAGAGGUGAAAUUCGUAGAUAUUCGGAGGAACACCAGUGGCGAAGGCGGCUCACUGGCUCGAUACUGACGCUGAGGUGCGAAAGCGUGGGGAGCAAACAGG